rnacentral:tRNA from 4 species
AAGCGGAUUGGUGUAAUAGUAACACAUUUGGCUCAUGUCCAGAGGUUAGAGGUGCAAGUCCUUUGUCCGCGUA